GCUUCGUGGUCCAGUAGUGAGGGCACUUGCCUCUCAUACUGAAGUCCCGGCUUCGACCCCCGGUCGAGGAGCA